rnacentral:rRNA from 1 species
UCAGGCCUAACACAUGCAAGUCGAGCGCACCUUCGGGUGAGCGGCGGACGGGUUAGUAACGCGUGGGAAUAUACCCAGUUCUAAGGAAUAGCCUCGGGAAACUGAGAGUAAUACCUUAUACGCCCUUCGGGGGAAAGAUUUAUCGGAAUUGGAUUAGCCCACGUUAGAUUAGGUAGUUGGUGGGGUAAUGGCCUACCAAGCCUACGAUCUAUAGCUGGUUUGAGAGGAUGAUCAGCAACACUGGGACUGAGACACGGCCCAGACUCCUACGGGAGGCAGCAGUGGGGAAUCUUGGACAAUGGGCGAAAGCCUGAUCCAGCCAUGCCGCGUGAGUGACGAAGGCCCUAGGGUCGUAAAGCUCUUUCAACUGUGAAGAUAAUGACGGUAGCAGUAGAAGAAACCCCGGCUAACUCCGUGCCAGCAGCCGCGGUAAUACGGAGGGGGUUAGCGUUGUUCGGAAUUACUGGGCGUAAAGCGCACGUAGGCGGACUAUUAAGUCAGGGGUGAAAUCCCGGGGCUCAACCCCGGAACUGCCUUUGAUACUGGUAGUCUUGAGUUCGAGAGAGGUGAGUGGAAUUCCGAGUGUAGAGGUGAAAUUCGUAGAUAUUCGGAGGAACACCAGUGGCGAAGGCGGCUCACUGGCUCGAUACUGACGCUGAGGUGCGAAAGUGUGGGGAGCAAACAGGAUUAGAUACCCUGG